rnacentral:rRNA from 1 species
CGGCCACAUUGGGACUGAGACACGGCCCAAACUCCUACGGGAGGCAGCAGUGGGGAAUAUUGCACAAUGGGGGAAACCCUGAUGCAGCGACGCCGCGUGAGCGAAGAAGUAUUUCGGUAUGUAAAGCUCUAUCAGCAGGGAAGAAGAAAUGACGGUACCUGACUAAGAAGCACCGGCUAAAUACGUGCCAGCAGCCGCGGUAAUACGUAUGGUGCAAGCGUUAUCCGGAUUUACUGGGUGUAAAGGGAGCGCAGGCGGAAGGCUAAGUCUGAUGUGAAGCCCGGGGCUCAACCCCGGUACUGCAUUGGAAACUGGUCAUCUAGAGUGUCGGAGGGGUAAGUGGAUUCCUAGUGUAGCGGUGAAAUGCGUAGAUAUUAGGAGGAACACCAGUGGCGAAGGCGGCU